UACGUAGGGUGCAAGCGUUGUCCGGAAUUAUUGGGCGUAAAGAGCUCGUAGGCGGCUUGUCACGUCUGCUGUGAAAUCCCGGGGCUCAACCCCGGGCGUGCAGUGGAUACGGGCUGGCUAGAGGCAGGCAGGGGAGAACGGAAUUCCCGGUGUAGCGGUGAAAUGCGCAGAUAUCGGGAGGAACACCAGUGGCGAAGGCGGCUCUCUGGGCCCUACCUGACGCUGAGACGCGAAAGCGUGGGGAGCGAACCGG
rnacentral:rRNA from 1 species